CCACAAGUUCUUCUCUCGGCUCAUAUAAAAUGCUACCACACACUCUUUCCCGCCACAUACACCCACCAUUGCAAUUGCAAACGCCAGAAAUGGCUUCUUCCAAAACCCUACUCGACAUGUUCCAACCCGCUUCCAAGCGCAUGAAACCCACCCUCACCACCGCCACCACCACCACCACCACCGCAUGCAAAUCCGACAACGCCGCUAAUGGCUCCUCACUUUCCAUUGACCAAAAAUCGCGCAUCGAACACAACAAACUCCUCGCCAAAUCCAAGCGGAACCUCAAAAUCUGCCUCGAAAGAGUCUCCAAAUUCAAAGCCUCAGGUGGUAGCGGUUUUGUGAAAUUGGAGGAGUUGCUGGUGGAGGAAUCGUGGUUGGAAGCUCUUCCCGGCGAACUCCAGAAACCCUACGCUGUCAAUCUUUCCAAAUUCGUUGAAACGGAGAUUUGCGGUGGCGAUGUGUACCCUCCGCCGCACUUGAUCUUCAACGCCCUUAACUCCACCCCUUUUCAUCAUGUCAAGGCUGUGAUUCUCGGCCAGGACCCUUAUCAUGGACCUGGUCAAGCAAUGGGUCUUUCAUUCUCAGUCCCUGAGGGAGUCAAAGUUCCUUCCAGUUUGGUGAAUAUAUUCAAGGAGCUUCACAAAGACGUUGGCUGCUCCGUUCCGUCUCAUGGUAAUCUGGAAAAAUGGGCUGUGCAGGGUGUUCUCUUACUCAAUGCUGUUCUCACAGUCAAGAAGCAUCAAGCAAAUUCUCAUGCGAAAAAAGGCUGGGAACAUUUUACGGAUGCUGUUAUCAAGACAAUCUCACAGAAGAAUGAAGGGGUUGUGUUUCUGUUGUGGGGAAACUCUGCUCGCGCGAAAUCUAGGUUAAUCGAUGCAACAAAGCAUCACAUUCUAGAAGCUGCACAUCCUUCUGGUUUGUCUGCAAAUAGGGGCUUCUUUGGCUGCAGGCACUUCUCCCGCACUAACCAACUUCUGGAGAAAAUGGGGACUGGUCCUAUAGAUUGGCAACUAUAACUUAUGUGUAGAGAGUAUCAACCGUUAUUUCCUUUAAUCAGAAUCAAUUUUGAAGUCUACUACUACAAGUUUUGGGGCGCUUCCUGACACUAACCAUUCAUCACUUCUUUUGCUGGAAGAGUGGAAAAUUGUCAGUCUUCACAGCUCACCAGUUCGAUCUAAAUUUGUAAAGUCUGAACCAAAUAGCGUGCACGUGAUAAUAAGGUUGCCUGCAAGUGAGUCAGAGAUGCGAAUGGGGCACUUUCCCCGUGAUUCAAACGUGAGCUUCAAUGGAAUCUGAUUUGCAGUAGCAGCUGUGUAGGACCAAAACCUCAUUGGGAUUCUAAUCUUUUUUAUCUGACUUCGAUCUCCUCGAUUUGUUGGCUCUUUUGUUUUACUCCUAUUUAUUUUUUAAAUGCAUUAUUAAUCUUUUCCUAAAAGUUUUUAUUCACCCCUUGUCACACUA